rnacentral:rRNA from 1 species
UACGGAGGGUGCAAGCGUUAAUCGGAUUUAUUGGGCGUAAAGAGCACGUAGGCGGAGUGGAAAGUUAGGUGUGAAAUCCCGAGGCUCAACCUCGGACACGCAUCUAAAACUCCCAUUCUAGAGGAUAGACGGAGAAAAGGGAAUUCCACGUGUAGCGGUAAAAUGCGUAGAUAUGUGGAAGAACACCAGUGGCGAAGGCGCUUUUCUAAGUUUAUACCUGACGCUGAGGAGCGAAAGCAAGGGGAGCAAACAGG